rnacentral:rRNA from 1 species
GUGGGGAAUAUUGCACAAUGGGCGAAAGCCUGAUGCAGCAACGCCGCGUGAGUGAUGAAGGUCUUCGGAUUGUAAAGCUCUGUCUUUUGGGACGAUAAUGACGGUACCAAAGGAGGAAGCCACGGCUAACUACGUGCCAGCAGCCGCGGUAAUACGUAGGUGGCGAGCGUUGUCCGGAUUUACUGGGCGUAAAGGGUGCGUAGGCGGAUGUUUAAGUGAGAUGUGAAAUACCCGGGCUUAACUUGGGUGCUGCAUUUCAAACUGGAUAUCUAGAGUGCAGGAGAGGAGAAUGGAAUUCCUAGUGUAGCGGUGAAAUGCGUAGAGAUUAGGAAGAACACCAGUGGCGAAGGCGAUUCUCUGGACUGUAACUGACGCUGAGGCACGAAAGCGUGGGUAGCAAACAGGAUUAGAUACC